rnacentral:piRNA from 1 species
AUCAUGAUAGAUGGAGUAUGUCAGGGUGGA